rnacentral:rRNA from 1 species
CCUACGGGAGGCAGCAGUGAGGAAUAUUGGUCAAUGGACGGAAGUCUGAACCAGCCAUGCCGCGUGCAGGAAGACGGCUCUAUGAGUUGUAAACUGCUUUUGUACAAGGGUAAACCUGAAUACGUGUAUUCAGCUGAAAGUACUGUACGAAUAAGGAUCGGCUAACUCCGUGCCAGCAGCCGCGGUAAUACGGAGGAUCCAAGCGUUAUCCGGAUUUAUUGGGUUUAAAGGGUGCGUAGGCGGAUUGAUAAGUUAGAGGUGAAAUGUCCGAGCUUAACUCGGGAACUGCCUCUAAUACUGUUGAUCUAGAGAGUAGAUGCGGUAGGCGGAAUGUAUGGUGUAGCGGUGAAAGGCUUAGAGAUCAUACAGAACACCGAUUGCGAAGGCAGCUUACCAAUCUAUAUCUGACGUUGAGGCACGAAAGCGUGGGGAGCAAACAGGAUUAGAUACCCCAGUAGUC